CCAAUAGCGUAUAUUAAAGUUGUUGCAGUUAAAAAGCUCGUAGUUGAAUUUCGGGGUCAGCAAGUUGGUCGUGCCACUGGUAUGUACUGGCUUUGCUGAUUCCUCCUUCUUGUAGAACCGUAAUGCCAUUAAUUUGGUGUUGCGGGGAAACAGGACUGUUACUUUGAAAAAAUUAGAGUGUUUAAAGCAGGCUAACGCUUGAAUACAUUAGCAUGGAAUAAUGAAAUAGGACGAGCGAUCCUAUUUUGUUGGUUUCUAGGAUUGACGUAAUGAUUAGUAGGGAUAGGUGGGGGCAUUAGUAUUCAAUUGUCAGAGGUGAAAUUCUUGGAUUUAUUGAAGACUAACUACUGCGAAAGCAUUUGCCAAGGAUGUUUUCAUUAAUCAAGAACGAAAGUUAGGGGAUCGAAGACGAUCAGAUACCGUCGUAGUCUUAACCAUAAACUAUGCCGACUAGGGAUCGGAUGAUGUUAAUUUUAUAAUGACUCAUUCGGCGCCUUACG
rnacentral:rRNA from 1 species